rnacentral:rRNA from 1 species
UACAGAGGGUGCUAGCGUUGUUCGGAAUCAUUGGGCGUAAAGGGCGUGUAGGCGGUUUGCUAAGUCAUGUGUGAAAUCCCUCGGCUCAACCGGGGAACGACGCAUGAAACUGGCAAGCUAGAGUACCAAAGAGGGGGGUGGAGUUCCCGGUGUAGCGGUGAAAUGCGUAGAUAUCGGGAGGAACACCUGUGGCGAAGGCGGCCCCCUGGUUGGAUACUGACGCUGAGACGCGAAAGCGUGGGGAGCAAACAGG